rnacentral:tRNA from 1 species
UGGCUCAGAGGUUAAGAGCAUUGGCCUCUCUUCCAAAGGACCUGGGUUCAAUUCCCAG